rnacentral:sRNA from 1 species
AAAUGUCAAGUUUCGUUGACUUGACCAUUUUGGGCACGUCGUUAAAUUUCCGUUAACAGCGUUAAUUUUCUAUUAAAAAAUUCUGUUAAAUCGAAACGACGUCGUUUUUAGAUCUCCAAAACGACGUCGUUUCAUUAGAAAAUAAUGAUGCAAAAUCUGCGUCCACAAAGACUCGAACAUAUGACCUACUGGACUCAUAUGGGGCAAUAUACCGCUGAGUUACGACAAUAAUUUACAAUAAUAACAAACAUUGCAUACAUAUACUAACAAAUAUAA